GCUCAAGGGAUCCUUCCUCGUUGGCCA
rnacentral:piRNA from 1 species